rnacentral:ncRNA from 1 species
UAAGGGGUGCUGCUUUCUGUGGCGAGCGAUAGUGAGCUACAACAGCGGCUGAGAUUAUACCCUCACGACCUGAUCCGGAUAAUGCCGGCGAAGGGAACUGAC